AUGAGAGGCCUUAACAGGAUGGACGGAGCUGCUGAAUUGGAGGAAUUCCUAUGCUUAUGGACGAAGGUGCAGGCAGUUAAACAGGACAUCCUCGACAACAUGAAUGAGGACUUGAUUGAAUGGACUCUCACCACAAACAAUGUUUACUCAGCCAAAUCGGCUUAUGACAUCCAGUUCAAGACAAGAAUCCCAAGCCCGGCCCUGGCUAAUGUUUGGAAGAUCAAGGCUGAAGGCAAAGUAAAAAUUUUCAUGUGGACGCUCUUGCAGAAUCGGCUAUGGACUGCUGACCGGCUCCUUCGUAGAAACUGGGAUCAUCAUGAUAGCUGCUGCAACUGUGACCAGGUUAUUGAAUCAGCUAUACACCUCAUUCUCAGAUGUCCCUACGCAAAAGAAGUCUGGCACUCCUUCAGCUCCACCAACCAGCUUGUCGCUAGAUAUGCUCGUGAGGCCAGCUCCAUUGUGGGAUGGUGGGAGAAAGUGUUCUCCCAUCAUCGGAAGAAGGUAGAAGCUUUCCAAAUUUGCACCACUUCGGUUUACAUUGCCUGGAAUAUUUGGAACGAGAGAAAUCGUCGUCUCUUUCAACAUGAGAGCCUGCCUGUUCAACGGCUUUGUAACAUUAUUUCUGAUGAAAUCUGCCUCCUUAAGGAGGCAUGGGAGUAG
rnacentral:rRNA from 1 species